AUCAGAUGUUCCCUCAAGAGGCCCCUCACUGCAGGAGCUGGAGGAUCGCCACCUCCACCUUCAGGAUCACAUCCCCAGUCAGCAGCCUGGCAGAGCAGGAGUUCUGAGAUCGGAGGCUUCUGCCCAACGUGGGCUUCUCCAACAGUCUUUGCUUCGAGCUCGGCAUGGGUUUGGCCCUGGGCUCUCAGAGCUGCACGGCGGGCCUGAGGCUCCUCCUAAAGGCCUUGCCUCUCACAGAACUUCCCCUUGCCUGUUUCUUUCUCGGCCUCCACUUCCUGAAAGCCCUUCCUGGAGAACACAUGGGCCCUUCCAAGGAAGGGUCACUGACACUGAGCUGGAGGACGUGGAGCAACCGGGGAAGAACUCACACCCCGAGGAAGCCUUACCCCAGGACCGACUUCCGGCUCAGCCGGAACCGGGAUGCCAGUGAUCCAGCGCCGAGGCGCGCGGCCUGCUUACUCCAGGGGAGGCUUCCCCUUCAGAGGCCCCAGGAAGGCGCUCAGAGAUCCCCCCACAGAGGCCCACACUCGGCAGGGACCCCCCGAGGCCUCUCCCCUCCGGCCCCUCAGGGGACCUUUCCCUGGUUCUCUGUGUCUGCCGCCAACCAAGGCCGCAGCAGACCCCCGAAAAGUCCACCUCUGGGAUCUUCUCUUGGCCAAGAGCCAGAAAGUCUCACUUUAACUUCGGUUACUAAAAAUACGUUCUGUUUCCUCCCAGUCCUGUGCUUAAUUCAAGUAACCAAAAUGCUGCACGCACACAGGUGCUAUUUUUAUUCCCACCUCCCGGGUGUCUGCCCUCCUCCCCUUCCAGUGUAGCUUUCCAACUCUGGGACUUACCCCUCAGCCCAGCUGUUGCAAUGGAAAGAAUGAGAACUCUUUCUCCCCAUCAGAGGAGCCCUUGUUUCCAUAGCUGGGCUUCACUCCUCUUCCUGUCCCACCGCGCACUCCCAGGAUGAGGAUCGUGUGUAAAAAGGUGGGGGGAGGGGUGGACUUUGAUUUCAGUCCCAAAACACCAAGAGCUGUUGGAGACAAAUAACUUGUGGAGGCCCCAAGUGUGACUUGUGCCCUAGCCGUGGACAUUAUUACCCCUGGGUUCCAGGACAGUCCCUUCCCCUUUAGACCGUGUCAGGAUGCCAUCCUCCUUGUCUGAAGGGCCCAGAUGGC
ensembl:lncRNA